AGCAGCCGCGGUAAUUCCAGCUCCAAUAGCGUAUAUUAAAGUUGUUGCAGUUAAAAAGCUCGUAGUUGAAUUUUGGAUUCUACCAAUCGGUCCAUCUUUUGAUGAGUACUGGUUGUGUGGGGUCUAUCCGCCUGGUGAUACGUAAUGUCCUUUAUUGGAUGUUGCGGGUAGUCAGGACCUUUACCUUGAAAAAUUAGAGUGUUUAAAGCAGGCUUAUGCCGGAAUACAUUAGCAUGGAAUAAUAGAAUAGGACGAAGUUGUUUUAUUUUGUUGGUUUCUAGGACAACCGUAAUGAUUAAUAGGGAUAGUUGGGGGCAUUAGUAUUCAAUUGUCAGAGGUGAAAUUCUUGGAUUUAUUGAAGACUAACUACUGCGAAAGCAUUUGCCAAGGAUGUUUUCAUUAAUCAAGAACGAAAGUUAGGGGAUCGAAGACGAUCAGAUACCGUCGUAGUCUUAACCAUAAACUAUGCCGACUAGGGAUCGGGCGAUGUUGUUUCAAUGA
rnacentral:rRNA from 1 species